GACAGAGGGUGCAAACGUUGUUCGGAAUUACUGGGCGUAAAGCGUGUGUAGGCGGUCUCAUAAGUCGGAUGUGAAAGCCCCGGGCUCAACCCGGGAAGUGCUUUUGAUACUGCAGAGCUUGAAUGUGGGAGAGGAUCGUGGAAUUCCAGGUGUAGUGGUGAAAUACGUAGAUAUCUGGAGGAACACCGGUGGCGAAGGCGGCGAUCUGGCCCAACAUUGACACUGAGACCCGAAAGCGUGGGGAUCGAAACAGG
rnacentral:rRNA from 1 species